rnacentral:rRNA from 1 species
CCAAAGAAUAUGGCGGUAUCUUAAUAUGUCAGGGUGGCAUGUGUAUUUUAAUUUGAUAGUCCACGAUAAGUAUGUCAUAUUUUGAAAUUCAGUAUGUGUACUGCCGUUUUAUAUAGUUUAAUAGAAUUAUAUAAUAUAUAUAUAUAUAUAUAUAUAUAUAUAUAUAUAUAUAUAUAUAUAUAUAUAUAUAUAUAUAUAUAUAUAUAUAUAUAUAUGUCAGGUCAAAGUGCAACUAAUAAUAUGAUAUAAUAUGAGCUACAAUUAUAUAAACAUUCUAUUUAUUUUAUGAUAUAAUAUAAAUGGAAGAACUUGAUAGUAAUUUAAAUUAUUAGUUUAAAUGAAAAUAAAAACUGAGAUAUGUACAAAUCGCCCGUCACUCCUUUUUACAGGAUAAGUCGUAACAUAGUAGAUGUAAUGGAAAUUGUAUCU